GCAACUCGACUCCAUGAAGUCGGAAUCGCUAGUAAUCGUGGAUCAGAAUGCCACGGUGAAUACGUUCCCGGGCCUUGUACACACCGCCCGUCACACCAUGGGAGUGGGUUGCAAAAGAAGUAGGUAGCUUAACCUUCGGGAGGGCGCUUACCACUUUGUGAUUCAUGACUGGGGUGAAGUCGUAACAAGGUAACCGUAGGGGAACCUGCGGUUGGAUCACCUCCUUACCUUAAAGAA
rnacentral:rRNA from 2 species